GACGAACGCUGGCGGCGUGCUUAACACAUGCAAGUCGAACGCUGAAGACCUGGCUUUUGUUGGGUUGGAUGAGUGGCGAACGGGUGAGUAACACGUGAGUAACCUGCCCUCUUCUUUGGGAUAACGCCCGGAAACGGGUGCUAAUACUGGAUAUUCUCUGAUCUUCGCAUGGGGGUUGGUGGAAAGGUUUGUUCUGGUGGGGGAUGGGCUCGCGGCCUAUCAGCUUGUUGGUGGGGUGAUGGCCUACCAAGGCUGUGACGGGUAGCCGGCCUGGGAGGGUGACAGGGGACAUUGGGAAUGGGAUACGGUCCAGAGGGCUACGGGAGGCAGCAGUGGGGAAUAAUGCGCAAUGGGCGAAAGCCUGAUGCAGGGGCGAGGCGUGAGGGAUGGAGGACUUCGGGUUGGAAACCUCUUUCGAGAAUGGUCAAGCCGGAAAGGUGGGUUGUGGUGAGGGUAGUGGGUAAAGAAGCGCCGGCUAACUACGUG
rnacentral:rRNA from 1 species